UCAUAAAGUACUAUUUGCUGUCUACUGCCA
rnacentral:piRNA from 1 species